CAGCCGCCGCGUAAAACGGAGGGGGCUAGCGUUGUUCGGAAUUACUGGGCGUAAAGCGUACGUAGGCGGCUUUGUAAGUUAGAGGUGAAAGCCUGGAGCUCAACUCCAGAAUUGCCUUUAAGACUGCAUCGCUUGAACGUCGGAGAGGUGAGUGGAAUUCCGAGUGUAGAGGUGAAAUUCGUAGAUAUUCGGAAGAACACCAGUGGCGAAGGCGGCUCACUGGACGACUGUUGACGCUGAGGUACGAAAGCGUGGGGAGCAAACAGGACUAGAUACCCCUGUAGUCCCUGUCUCUUAUACA
rnacentral:rRNA from 1 species